AGUUAAGUGACUAAGCGUAUACGGUGGAUGCCUAGGCGGUAGAAGGCGACGAAGGACGUAGUAACUUGCGAUAAGCCACGGGGAGUUAGUAAACAAGCUUUGAUCCGUGGAUUUCCGAAUGGGAAAACCCAUCCUUUAUGGAUAUCCCCUUGUGGGAGGCUAACCCGGAGAACUGAAACAUCUAAGUACCCGGAGGAAAAGAAAUCAACCGAGAUUCCCUAAGUAGCGGCGAGCGAACGGGGACCAGCCCUAAAGCAUUUAUUAAGAUAGCAGAACACUCUGGAAAGUGUGACGAUACAAGGUGAUAGUCCUGUAUGCGAAAUCUUAUUAAGUGUUAUUCGAGUAGGACGGAACACGUGAAAUUCUGUCUGAAUAUGGGGGGACCACCCUCCAAGGCUAAAUACUCUCUACCGACCGAUAGUGAACCAGUACCGUGAGGGAAAGGCGAAAAGAACCCCGGAAGGGGAGUGAAA
rnacentral:rRNA from 1 species